rnacentral:rRNA from 1 species
UACGGAGGGGGCAAGCGUUGUUCGGAAUUACUGGGCGUAAAGGGCGCGUAGGCGGCCUUCUAAGUCGAACGUGAAAUCCCCGGGCUCAACCCGGGAACUGCGUCCGAUACUGGAAGGCUUGAAUCCGGGAGAGGGAUGUGGAAUUCCAGGUGUAGCGGUGAAAUGCGCAGAUAUCAGGAGGAACACCAAUGGCGAAGGCAGCUCGCUGGGACGGUACUGACGCUGAGACGCGAAAGCGUGGGGAGCAAACAGG